UCCACACUAAGCCAGUUCUCAUCUCCAAUUUAAGUGUCCAGAGAAUCUCAACUCAAAAUUUUCCCUAUGUUCAUCUUCCUAGGUCUCCCUCAGACAAAUUCAUUAGAAAACCUGGGAAACAUUCAAUAGAACAGGUAAUCCUCCAUAGUCAAAGAUGCUGACUGACACUUGGCUUGAGGAAGGGGGUAAAUGAAGUAGCCCAGCAAGGGUCUCCCUCCUAAGCUAGAUCUUAGCCAUUGUGAUGGGUGUGGGAAGGGAUCUGGAGGGACAAGAACAGGGGUCUUCUUACUAACAUAGGGCUAAUUUUCAGAGGGUGCCUUGGUGGCCUUCAUGUGCACAACAGGGUGUUCUCCUCCAAAGACAGCUCCAGGACAUGGUCUCCCUCAGACACACAGAUUGGAAAACCUGGAAAACAUUCAAUCGAACAGAGGGUGCAGUGGCGUUCUUCAGCUGCACAGCAGGGGGUUCUCUUCCAAAGACAGCUCCAUGACCUGGUGAGUGAUUUCUGUGUAGCCCUAAAUGUGGGCCUCCCCUUGUUUAUGCCUAAAUCAUGGACCCAUUUUGAUCUUACCUUGGUAUACAGCAUUAAGUGUUGGCCCGUGCCCAAUUUCUGCCGUACUAAUUUCCAGUUAUCCCAGCA
rnacentral:lncRNA from 1 species